rnacentral:rRNA from 1 species
CCUACGGGUUGCACCAGUGGGGAAUAUUGCACAGUGGGCGCAAGCCUGAUGCAGCCAUGCCGCGUGUGUGAAGAAGGCCUUCGGGUUGUAAAGCACUUUCAGCGGGGAGGAAGGCGGUGAGGUUAAUAACCUCACCGAUUGACGUUACCCGCAGAAGAAGCACCGGCUAACUCCAUGCCAGCAGCCGCGGUAAUACGGAGGGUGCAAGCGUUAAUCGGAAUUACUGGGCGUAAAGCGCACGCAGGCGGUCUGUCAAGUCGGAUGUGAAAUCCCCGGGCUCAACCUGGGAACUGCAUUCGAAACUGGCAGGCUAGAGUCUUGUAGAGGGGGGUAGAAUUCCAGGUGUAGCGGUGAAAUGCGUAGAGAUCUGGAGGCAUAUCGGUGGCGAAGGCGGCCCCCUGGACAAAGACUGAUGCUCAGGUGCGAAAGCGUGGGGAGCAAACAGGAUUAGAUACCCCUGUAGUC